UCAGCAUGGAGAUUGGUGUUCCAAAGGUC
rnacentral:piRNA from 1 species